UACGUAGGGGGCAAGCGUUGUCCGGAUUUAUUGGGCGUAAAGAGCGUGUAGGCGGCCAAGCAGGUCAGCUGUGAAAACUCGAGGCUCAACCUCGAGACGUCGGUUGAAACCGCUUGGCUAGAGUCCGGAAGAGGAGAGUGGAAUUCCCCGGUGUAGCGGUGAAAUGCGCAGAUAUCGGGGAAGAACACCCGUGGCGAAGGCGGCUCUCUGGGACGGUACUGACGCUGAGACGCGAAAGCGUGGGGAGCAAACAGG
rnacentral:rRNA from 1 species